AUGCUUGCGCGUCAGUGUUGGCGUCUCCUGACCGAACCCGACUCUUUGUGUUCGAGGGUCUUAAAGGGACGCUACUUCCCUGAUGGGGCUUUUUGGACUGCCACCAAGACAAGAUCAUCUUCCUUCACUUGGCGCAGUUUGCUCUUUGGGCGUCAACUGAUUCAGAAGGGAGCUCGGUGGGGUGUAGGAAAUGGCACCCGGAUCAAAGUUAUGGAAGACAACUGGAUUCCAGGUUUCCCUCCUGGAACUUUCAACUCGAUUCUCCCUAUUCCGGCUGAAACUUCAGUUCAGUUUUUGAUGGCUGAGUCUUUGGUGUCUUGGGACAAAGACCUUGUGCGAAGCUUCUUUGCUGAUCCUAUUGCAGAACAAAUUCUGCAAGUUCCCAUAAGUCGUUUUGGGGGAGAUGACUUCCUGUCGUGGCCUCAUGACAAGCUUGGCAUCUACUCAGUCAAGUCUGGCUAUAAUCUUACUCGAAGUGAGAACUUCUUCUCCUCUACAAGUGGAAAGGGCAAGGGUCUGGCUUCCAACAUUCAGGUGCAAGAAAAGGAGUGGAAGGCCCUUUGGUCAGUCAAUUGUCCAAACAAAAUGAAGAUUGUUUUGUGGCGUUUCGUGCACGACUGUUUACCUACGGGUUUCCAGCUGGUGAGGCGUCAAAUUCCAGUCGACGAUGGCUGUUUCUUCUGCAACCGGACUGAGCGUGUGGAGCAUCUCUUCCUGCUGUGUCCCUUCGCCCGUUCUGUUUGGAAAGGGGUUAAAGAGGAGUUCAGUGUCAGGCUGUGCAAAAAAGACAUGGUUAAUGGUCGUCAAUGGAUGUUCGAUUUCCUGGCUCAUGCUUCGAAGCUUCAAGCUACUGUCUUGGCCAUCACUCUAUGGCAUAUCUGGGAAGCUAGAAAUGAGGUACGUAAUAAUGGCACCGAAGUGCAUCCUGCUAGAACUGCUUCAAAAGUUCGUGCCUAUGUCCGUAUGGUGUUGCAGCAUUGUUCUAAGCCUAAACCCGAUCCCAGGCGUGAGUCCUCUUCUUCAACUGUUAUUUGGACUCGGCCACCUGCUGGUGUGGUGGCUGUGAAUGUUGAUGCGGCGCUGUUUCCUUCUAUCCGACGGAUGGGCAUGGGCUUUGUGGCUAGGAAUCAUCUUGGGGAGUGUAUGUUUGCUGGCAGUGAGAAGCUUCAAGGCUUUUCUGAACCGGAGUUGGCUGAGGCGCGUGCCAUCCGACGUGCUCUUGAGGUUUGUCGAUCUGAAGGCUGUUCGUCAAUUGUCUUGGCAUCUGAUUGCCUCGCCAUGGUGAACAAAAUCAAGUCUAUGGCUCAAGAUCGAUCAAGAGUGGGCGCUGUUGUCUCGGACAUCAAGUCUCUUGCGUCUGGGUUUACUCAAUGCUCUUUCUUACAUGUCAGGCGUGGUAUGAAUGUAGCGGCACACAAACUAGCUCGUAGUUGUGAGCACUCUGUUAAUCUUUUUUAUCUUGGUGUGGUUCCAGAUUGUAUCAGGGACGAACUUUGCUGUGAUGUUCAGUAA
rnacentral:rRNA from 1 species